UACGUAGGUGGCAAGCGUUGUCCGGAAUUAUUGGGCGUAAAGCGCGCGCAGGCGGUCUUUUAAGUCUGAUGUGAAAGCCCCCGGCUCAACCGGGGAGGGUCAUUGGAAACUGGGAGACUUGAGUGCAGAAGAGAAGAGUGGAAUUCCACGUGUAGCGGUGAAAUGCGUAGAGAUGUGGAGGAACACCAGUGGCGAAGGCGACUCUUUGGUCUGUAACUGACGCUGAGGCGCGAAAGUGUGGGGAGCGAACAGG
rnacentral:rRNA from 1 species